rnacentral:lncRNA from 1 species
UGGUUAUGCCUUUCCGACGCAACUGAACCACUAUAACCAACCAAAAAUGAUCAACACCAAAAAAAGCAUCCGUAUCUCUACAACGGUGGAAGACUAGUAGACUUAAUAUUUAGUGAGAAGAUUUAGGUUCAGAUCUCUUCUAAUAGUCAGAUACAUCUGUUGUAGAUGACUAAUCUAGUUUAAGUCAGCAUAUCAUCUCUUGUCUGACCA